CCUACGGGAGGCAGCAGUGAGGAAUAUUGGUCAAUGAACGAGAGUCUGAACCAGCCAAGUAGCGUUAAGGAUGACUGCCCUAUGGGUUGUAAACUUCUUUUAUCAAGGAAUAAAACGAGCCACGUGUGCCUUUUUGCAUGUACUUUAUGAAUAAGGAACGGCUAACUCCGGUCCAGCAGCCGCGGGAAUACGGAGGAUCCGAGCGUUAUCCGGAUUUAUUGGGUUUAAAGGGAGCGUAGAUGGGUUGUUAAGUUAGUUGUGAAAGUUUGCGUCUCAACCGUAAAAUUGCAAUUGAUACUGGCAGUCUUGAGUACAGUUGAGGUAGGCGGAAUGCGUGGUGUAGCGGUGAAAUGCGUAGAUAUCACGAAGAACCCCGAUUGCGAAGGCAGCUUACUAAACUGUGACUGACAUUGAUGCUCGAAAGUGUGGGUAUCAAACAGGAUUAGAUACCCCAGUAGUC
rnacentral:rRNA from 1 species